AUUGGAUUAUGGGAGGGAUUUUAAACUGGUAGUAAGCCGUGGGGCUGUAGACAGCCUACAGAGCUCAGAAACUGUGUGUAUGAUCAUUUGCGUAUAGUGGUAUGUGUCUCUACUGUUUUCCAUUAUCUGUGGCCGGAGGUGGAGGAGGGAGGCACAGCAUCUGAAAUAUGAACCUCUUCUGCUUCUCUCUGGAAGGCUCGACAGAGUGUUUGUUGAGCCUGCCCUCAACAAACACCCAGUCAUCCACGAAAACAGUAGUAGAGUUCCCAGUCGACACAGUAGCCCAUCUUUGAGGGACAAGGGCCAAGUGGAGAGGCUCAGAUCCAUGUAUACCCACGGAGCUGUCCGGAACUCACAAAUCCCAUUUGAAAAAGAAGAAGAGAAGGUGUGGAACAUUUGUGUUAUUUAUGGCUGUCAGUCAACACAUGCUGUGGUUAAAGUUAGAGUGAGGGGCUUAGUUAACUCUUGAAAUUGAUGCUAAGGUGUGCUGCUUAUAUCUCCAGGAAAUAAUGAGUUAAUCAGGAGUUCUCAGCAGGUCCACUGUUAGCGUUUUUGUCCUUGUCCUCAUGGUGGCCUUCACUCUCUAAGCCUCCAGGCAGCUGUCUGUUUGGAUCUUGGUCCCUUGCUCAAACCUGUUUAGAGGGCACCUAUUCUAUAAUUUUUAUAUCACAACAAGGGCAUGGUUCACAGUCUUUGGCAAGAGAAAGAGACACAGGUAUGGAGGACACAGGGCGAGGUGCCUCGUAAGGAUCCGCCGAUGGCGAGUAGGAAAUCUGCCCUUCCAUCAAUAUUACCUGCCAACAUACAAUCAUUGGACAAUAAAUUAGACGAGGUAUGAUCACGAAUAUCCUACCAACGGGACAUCAAAAACUAUAAUAUCUUAUGUUUCACCGAAUCAUGGCUGAAUGACAACAUGGAAAACGUUCAGCUGGCGGGAUAUAUGAUGCACCGGAUAGAUAGAACAGCAGACUCCGGUAAGACGGUAUAUUUGUAAACAACAGCUGGUGCAUGAAAUCUAAGGAAGACUCCAGAUUUUGCUCGCUUGAAGUAGAGUAUCUCAUGAUAAGCUGUAGACCACACUAUUUGCCAAGAGAGAUUUCAU